ensembl:snRNA Gm24200 U1 spliceosomal RNA
AUACUUACCUGGCAGGGGAGAUACCAUGAUCAUGAAUGUGGGUUACUCAGGCCGAGGCUUAUCCACUGCAUUCUAGAUAUGCUGACCGCUGACAUGUCCCAGAUGUAGGAAACACAACUGCAUAAUUUGUGGCAAAGAGGGAUUAUAUGAACACUCU